rnacentral:lncRNA from 9 species
AUGCUCUCCUUGGUGCCACGGUUGCAGAGAGCUGAAGGCCUGCUAUGUGUAUCUUAUACCAGAAUGAACUGGAGGAGACAGAAUAAGAGAUGGCAUUUAAGCAUCAGCCUAGAGAAUGAGAGCAGCAAACAGCCUUUGGAAUUUGGGCAAGUUCUUUUACCUGGGACUCAUCAUCUGUGUCAUGUGAAAAAGACAAUGGUGAGUUUGAUUAAAACAAGACUUUUUGGAAAAAUGAUUUACCAAUGCAGAAAUUGCUUCAAGAGAGAAAGCCCUAGGUGUGUUUUCAGAAACCCAGUGUUGGUUCUGUGAUUGGCAGGGCUUGGGGAUCGGAAUCUUCUGUGUAUAUAAUGAAGCCACUGGGAACCUGAUCUGCCUCGACCUUUGAUCUGCAGAGGUCAGGAUUUCAACUGGGAAGUUUGUUGAUUUAUUUCUUGGUUUCCUGGUGUCUGGUUUGCCAAUCAUGAACUCAGUUCAAAAACCCCAUCUGGGAGUUCCCGUUGUGGCUCAGUGCUUAAGGAACCCAACUAGUAUCCAUGAGGGUUUGGGUUGGAUCCCCAGCCUAGCUCCGUGGGUUGGGGAUCCGGCAUUCCCAUGAGCUGUGGGGUAGGUUGCAGAUGAGGCUCAGAUCUGGAGUUGGUGUGGCUGUACGUCUCCAAUUCGACGCCUAACCUGGGAACCUCCAUGUGCUGUGGGUUCAGCCCUAAAAAGACAAAAAGACACAAACAAAAACACCCCCUCACCCCCGCUGAAACCCUCUCAGUUAAAAUUGCCACACUGAAAGCAUUUAGAUGAGAGUCCAGCCAUGCAUCAUAAUGUUGAGAUGGCUGACUCGCUGUAAUGUUGGGCCAACGUGUUUGAUCUUCGUCCCAGCUGGAGAAAAUCCACUUAGCCUUCCAGCUCCUCCACAAAGUCUACUGUGAUAGCCCUGCUUUCAAGCUUCCAUCCCAAGCAGGGAGUAGUUUUUCCUUCUUUUAGGGUUUGUAACACUUGGGGCUAUUUACUCCCAACACAUAGGGCCAUCUUACCCCCCCCCCAUGGUAUAAAUUCCUUGAGUUUGGGGACAGUACGUUGUUAAUCAUUGGGUUCCCCAAACAGGUUAGCAGGGGGUCUACCACAAAAUACAUGCUCGCUAACCUUUCUUUGGUAAUCCAGUCAUUAUUACUAUGCAGGUUACUUGUGCCUAGUUUUUAAACUUACAUGGUUCCCCAAGCUUGAUUUAAAAAGCGGCUCCCCGGCCCACUCUCCCCACUCAUUCCCUGCUUCCCACAGCAAGUAGCUUCCACUAACUGUUCGGAAGCUGAUCUUCAUGCCUUCUAGGUUCUAUACUGACAUCAACGCUUCUUCAUUGUUCACUUUCUCCCCUAAGCAGUGGCUUCCCAGUUUGGAGGUUGAUGGUAGAGCGCUCUUUUCUGUGUCACCACCUCCUUGCCCCCACUGCCCUCAUGUGCCCCCCCCCCCACCAUCAUUCUAUCCUGGAAAGAAUCAUUCUAGAACUUGGUUUAAAUCAAGAUUCAGAGUUGGCGUGAUCGUGACGAGGGAAUGCUGGUGAUCAAG